rnacentral:rRNA from 1 species
GAGUUUGAUCGUGGCUCAGAUUGAACGCUGGCGGCAUGCCUUACACAUGCAAGUCGAACGGCAGCAUGAUCUAGCUUGCUAGAUUGAUGGCGAGUGGCGAACGGGUGAGUAAUACAUCGGAACGUGCCCUGUAGUGGGGGAUAACUAGUCGAAAGAUUAGCUAAUACCGCAUACGACCUGAGGGUGAAGGUGGGGGACCGCAAGGCCUCAUGCUAUAGGAGCGGCCGAUGUCUGAUUAGCUAGUUGGUGGGGUAAAGGCCCACCAAGGCGACGAUCAGUAGCUGGUCUGAGAGGACGAUCAGCCACACUGGGACUGAGACACGGCCCAGACUCCUACGGGAGGCAGCAGUGGGGAAUUUUGGACAAUGGGCGAAAGCCUGAUCCAGCAAUGCCGCGUGUGUGAAGAAGGCC